UUGCAGCUAAUAAGCCGACCAAAUCCCUUUCCCUUGGGAACUUGGUGUGCAAUGGUUGCAAACAGCAGACUUCCUUGGUGUAGUGUAUGCAGCCUGUUACUUUAUAUGGGUUGCCCCAAGGGACCUUGGAGACAUUU
ensembl:snoRNA SNORA70 Small nucleolar RNA SNORA70